UACAGAGGUCUCAAGCGUUGUUCGGAUUCAUUGGGCGUAAAGGGUGCGUAGGCGGCGCGGUAAGUCGGGUGUGAAAUUUCGAGGCUUAACUUCGAAACUGCAUUCGAUACUGCCGUGCUAGAGGACUGGAGAGGAGACUGGAAUUCCUGGUGUAGCGGUGAAAUGCGCAGAUAUCAGGAAGAACACCCGUGGCGAAGGCGGCUCUCUGGGACGGUACUGACGCUGAGACGCGAAAGCGUGGGGAGCGAACAGG
rnacentral:rRNA from 1 species